GUUGGUGACAGCGGAGGGAU
rnacentral:rRNA from 1 species